CCCAGCCCUCUUCAUCUUCAGUCGCUGCUGUGCUGCUGCGGUGACUGGCCAGACCGAGAGGGAAACAGAGAGCAAGGGAGCCGGCUGAUCCUCUGUGGUUCUAGGAGCAACUUGAGGAACUAGACAAUACAUUUAGCUAGUAAACAACCCACUUGAAGGAGUUGGUGAAGAGCACAAUCUCGAUCAAAGUUUGGAAUUCUAGACUCUUCACUUGAGGUUCUGAAAUGCAUGAAGUCUUGGAGAACUAGAACAGAAAUGUUAUAUUUUGAAUGCCCACUUUUGUAAUUGUACUUUUGGAAACGUUAGUAUCUUUUGGAUGAUUUUUGUGUUUUUGGGAAAAUGUGAAUCCUGUGGUGCUUCUGUGCCCUGGAUUAGGAACUUUAAAUUGUAAAUUAAGUUGAAUUUAAGUAUACUAAGCUCGACGUUUUCGUUGGUACUUGGAAUUGUGUUUUGGGCUGUAUAAGUUGAAUUGUAUGAAUUAUUUAAGUACGUGACUUGCUCGAGA